rnacentral:rRNA from 1 species
AUACGUAGGUCCCGAACGUUGCGCGAAAUUACUGGGCGUAAAGGGUCCGUAGGCGGUCUGGUAAGUGGAAGGUGAAAGCCUGGGGCUCAACUCCAGAAUUGCCUUCCAAACUGCCGGACUUGAGGCAGGGAGAGGUCGGCGGAAUUCCCGGUGUAGUGGUGAAAUGCGUAGAUAUCGGGAGGAACACCAGUGGCGAAGGCGGCCGACUGGAACUGUCCUGACGCUGAGGGACGAAAGCCGGGGGAGCGAACCGGAUUAGAAACCCUAGUAGUCC